rnacentral:rRNA from 1 species
AACGAACGCUGGCGGCAGGCUUAACACAUGCAAGUCGAGCGCCCCGCAAGGGGAGCGGCAGACGGGUGAGUAACGCGUGGGAAUCUACCCAUCUCUACGGAAUAACGCAUGGAAACGUGUGCUAAUACCGUAUACGUCCUUCGGGAGAAAGAUUUAUCGGAGAUGGAUGAGCCCGCGUUGGAUUAGCUAGUUGGCGGGGUAAAGGCCUACCAAGGCGACGAUCCAUAGCUGGUCUGAGAGGAUGAUCAGCCACACUGGGACUGAGACACGGCCCAGACUCCUACGGGAGGCAGCAGUGGGGAACAUUGGACAAUGGGCGCAAGCCUGAUCCAGCCAUGCCGCGUGAGUGAUGAAGGCCCUAGGGUUGUAAAGCUCUUUCACCGGUGAAGAUAAUGACGGUAACCGGAGAAGAAGCCCCGGCUAACUUCGUGCCAGCCGCCGCCGUAAUAC